rnacentral:antisense_RNA from 1 species
CUUACGGAGUCCCUGCUAUGUCCUCCGGCCCUUACAGAGUAAGGGUAAUCUCCAAGGCUCACAACAGCCCCUCUGUCUGGGUGGCCAAACCAGUCAGGAUUUGAACUCAGUUUUCCAAACAAUAACAAUUCCCAUCUGUUCGGCAUCUACUAUGCUUUACAGACUUGUGACAUUCAUACCACACCUGGGGGGGUGAGCUAAUCAUUCCCUCAUUUUACAGAUGAGGCAGCUGAGACUUCAGGAGGCCUCUGCUCACACGCCACCUCCUUGAGAGGCCUUGCCAGACCACCCUGUUAAAGUAGUCACCCCCACCCCUGCCCAAUAUGCCCUACCCUCUUCCCUAUUUUAUCUUCAUAGCAUGCAUCACGACCUGCUAAUAUUGUGUGUCUCCAUUGCAUUUUGUCUGUCUCCCUAACUAGCUCCAGGUCAGUUUAUCCUAGUGGCUUGCACUCCAGUGGGCUCUCAGACUAGCCCCGUGGGGCAAGUUAUUUUGAUGAUCUGUGCUUCCUUUGGGGUAAUGAUAGGACCUUACCUGAAAGGUUUCUUGUAAGGGUUAAAUGAGUUAAUAUAGGUUAAGUGUUGGCCACUGCCAUUGUUUCGUCCCAGAGCUGUAGCUCCAGGGUCUUCAACAGUAAACAGUAGGUUGUCAAUAAAUAUGUAUUAAAUUUAAAAA